rnacentral:rRNA from 1 species
GUUUUUGGCCAUGCCACCCUCAACAACGCGCCCGAUCUCAUCUGAUCUGCAAAGCUAAACAGGGUCGGGCCUGGUCAGUGCUUGGAUGGGAAAGGGCCAAGAGGGAUGGCGGGGUGGAUGAGGAGG